rnacentral:sRNA from 1 species
GGCGUUGAGCAGUUGAUAGCUGAUGAAGUGUUCGCCCUGCUGCGCGCUCCAGAA